AUGUACAGACAUGUGCGCCGAUGUCUGCGCAGACAGAUCGUUGCGUGUGGACCGGGCUUAACAGAUACGCGAUUUCCUGCCCACCACUAGUUAGUCUUUUGUUACCUCACGCUGCCGUAAUGUUAUUUUAUUGUUUUCAUGCCUGCCUGCCAAAGACCUUCGACGCCUGGCGCGUUACGGAUUGGGGGAGGAGGAGAUGGCUGACGUGACGAACAGCUGACUGGCAUCCGGCACUUGUCAACAUAACGGGAACGUGUUGCCGACGAACCAUACGCGGAAUGCGGCGAUUCUUCGUGGGCAUAACAACAUUUCCUAGAUCUUCCUGUUUCUGGCGGCGUCGAUGUCACUCUUCCCUUGCAUCAAACGUCGUAACUGCGUGUGACGACCAGCUCAACACAUAGGACAGUGAUAAAAGCAGAGUAAUAAGUGCUGUGUUACGUAUAGUGUUUGUGAGUCCUCAGAGGAGGUAAUGCCCCCCUAGUGAAAUCGUGUGAAGUUCUGCUCAGCUUAUAGGUAGGUCCCCAAAGCAGAGUACCCAAUAUUUCCUUAUGGUUUGAAAAGUGCUCAAGCCAACAAAAUGUCUUUUGUUUAUAAAUGAUUCACUCAAUAUAACUUGGUUGUAAAUGGAAAAUAUUUCUUUAAAGGUAUGUACUGAUUUUUGUAUAAGUAGUCUGUGUGCUGUGUGCCAAUUUACAAAUUUCAAUAGUUAAUUGAUAAAAUGUCUUACGCCUGUAACUGUAGUUUUGACAGAUGCAUAGUGUCAAUGCUUUUGUGUAUAUAGGUUUUACAUUUGUAUUAGGUUAUUUAAAAUUAGACUCAUUUAUUCAGAUUCCAUUCCUUAGUGUCAAUUAUGUUCUUUACCGUGAUUCAUGUGUGUAAUUAAGAGUAACCUUUACUAAUAUGCUUGAUAUCUCCAAUAAAAGGGAAACUGUGUCAGUCACAUUAUCUUAUCUUUUUUACAUUUUUCUUGCUGAUUAUCAGACAGUUAGUAAAUUAUGUGUAAGGUUCUUGCUGUCAUUAAAUAAUUUUCAAAUUGCUAUAUUCAUUGAUCAUGUUUUAUGUACAUGGAGAUAAGGUUAAUUAACAUUAGUUAUAUUUUGAAAGUCAUUUGUUCUCAGGGUCAGAUACUUAUUGCAACUACUUUGACAUGAAAUACUUAUUAGUGUAAUUUUCAAAUUUUGAUGUUUUAUUGUAUAACUUUCGCUAGGACUUCUGAGUCCCCUCAACAGGUAACCUAACUCUAGUUUUGUUUUGGUGGGGAUGUGACGGUAUUGAUGUGUAGUAUCUGUAAGUGGUUGUUCUUUGGAGGGCGACAAUGCCCAGUGGCGCAGAGAGUCGCAAGCAGAGGCAGUUGUUGAGAGGCUGUGGAAGGUGUAGGCUGUGUGAGACAAAGGCGGUUGCGUAGCGAAGAAUUUAUCUCUAUAUUUAAUAGUAGUGGCACACAGUUUGAAUAAUAGUGUGUUUAUGUUUGUGCAGUGUGAUAAAGAAUAUAAAUUAAAUUUUAUCAGUUCCUAAUGUGUCUCCAUCAGUUAGUAACACACCAUUGCAUUUAACAAUGAACGAAGUCUCGAUAUACACGGUCAACUACAACAAGAGGAUUGUAACAUAAUAAUCAUUAAUUAACCCAUAUAUCUCCAAAGACGAAGGGAGCUUAUAAGCAAUGAACAAGAAAUGGAAAAGUUCAUACAUCAACUGGUGAAAGAACUCAUGGGAACGGGAGAGCAGGAAGAACAGAUGAAAGAGGAUACAGGACAAAACUCAUCUAAGCUGAAGUAGUGCCAAAUCAGUUUUACAAAGGCAAUAAAACCAGUGAGGAAAAUGCCUGAUGAACUCCAGAAGUAGUUCUUACAAGGCUCAAACAGUUCCAGUUCCAACUGUAACAAGAGAUUAUGGUUUAAUGUCACAUCAAUGGUGAGGUCAUUAAACACAGUUGGUGCUGAGAAUGAAACUGGCUCUUUUUCGAAGGAAUGACAUUUGCCUUUAGCACUGCACGGAAAAUUGUCCUUCCAAGUAAGUCUGGUGACAACCACUACACCAUCUCAUUGAGCACAGUUGAGAACAUUUUCCCAACCAUUUAACCAAAAACAUGUUAGAUGUUUGUUAGACUUUUUUGGAUAAAAGGGCAAGGACACUAUAAACCUUUUUGCAACAUCUGUAAUAAAAAAUUCAAUAAAUAUUAUUAAUGGCACCUUACA